rnacentral:misc_RNA from 1 species
GUGAAGAUUUGGGCAGGCCAUACGGACGCCAAAAAGUGUCCCUGGCCGCCUACACCCACUAUACAUCCACAAACCCGUGUGCACUGUCUUGGAGAAAGGCUUCAGAGAAGUUUUUUGUGGCCUCUCUUGGGGUCUUUCUUCGCUACAAACUCGAAUGGUUAGUAUGAACGUGGAACUUGGUUGGACCGUCACUGGCCAACAAACUAUACACAACUUU